GAUGAACGCUGGCGGCGUGCCUAAUACAUGCAAGUCGAACGCAGAGGCAGGAGCUUGCUUUUCUGGAUGAUUUGCGAACGGGUGAGUAACACGUAGGUAACCUGCCUGUAAGCGAGGGAUAACUCUUGGAGACGAUAGCUAAUACCGCAUAUGAGUAGAUGUUGCAUGACAUUUACUUAAAAGAUGCAGUUGUGUUACUACCUGUUGGUCCUUCGUCGUAUUAGUUAGUUGGUGGGGUAACGGCUUACCAAGGCGACGACAGAUAGCCGACCUGCGAGGGGGGUUGGCCACACUGGGACUGGGACACGGCCCAGGAUCCUACGGGGAGCAGCAAGAGGGGAUCCUCGGGCAAGGGGGGAAGUCUGGACGAGGAACGCCGCGUGGGUGAAGAAGGGUUUCGGGUCGGAAAGAUCUGGUGAAAGGGGAGAACGAGAGUGGUAGGGAAAAGUUCACACUGUGACGGUAUCUAACCAGAAAGAGACGGCUAACUACGUG
rnacentral:rRNA from 1 species